UAGGAAACCUUCACAAUUGACGGAAGGUCGGUGGAGGCACCGCGCGUGAGUGAUGAAGGUUUUUGGAACGUAAAAAUCCGGUGUAAGGGAAGAAACAGUAAGUCAGGCAAAGGACGUAACUUGACGGUUACCUAAUAGAAAGCCAAGGCUAACUACGUGGCAGCAGCCGCGGUAAUACGUAGGUGGCAAGCGUUGUCCGGAAUUAUUGGGCGUAAAGCGCGCGCAGGUGGUUUCUUAAGUCUGAUGUGAAAGCCCACGGCUUAACCGUGGAGGGUCAUUGGAAACUGGGAGACUUGAGUGCAGAAGAGGAAAGUGGAAUUCCAAGUGUAGCGGUGAAAUGCGUAGAGAUUUGGAGGAACACCAGUGGCGAAGGCGACUUUCUGGUCUGCAACUGACGCUGAGGCGCGAAAGCAUGGGGAGCAAACA
rnacentral:rRNA from 1 species